rnacentral:ncRNA from 1 species
GCGUUGGCGGGAGGCUCUGACACGCGGCCCAGAUCCGUGCCGCCGGGACCGCGCCGAGCCACUGGCGAGACCGACCCGCCUGUGC